UAGAUUUGAAACGCUGCUUUUUCUCUCUCCCAUAAUCGCCUGCUGUGACGCUGUCCCCCUACAGAGGGAAGAAAACCCUUUCUUUCCUCAUUCCCAUAAAAUUCAAACCAUACUUCCAUUUCCUCUCUCUCUCCAAUCUAUCCACGCUUCAUAAAUCUUACUCUCUCUCAAGUUUCAAUACACGCGCACACACACUCUCUUUCUUUCCUCAAUCCUCCAUCAUCUAGGGUUUACAUUUUUUCAACAAUGCCCCUGUAUUCCCAACCUUCCGUAACAUUUUAGAUCAUUCUCUUAUUCUUUAAUUAUUAUCAAUCCCUAGAUUUACUUAUUCAUAUUUCCAAGGGAAUGGAUGCGAGUACCAGCGGUGGAGAUGGCGGUGGCGGAGGAAGCACUAACGGGGCCACGCCGGCGCCGGCGCCGGUACCGAUUCCGAACGCGAACGCGCCGCCGCCGUUCCUGAGCAAGACGUACGACAUGGUGGACGACCCUUCAACGGACGCAAUCGUGUCGUGGAGCGCUACAAACAACAGCUUUGUGGUUUGGAACCCACCGGAAUUCGCGAGAGACCUUUUGCCGAAAUACUUCAAGCACAACAACUUUUCCAGCUUCGUUAGACAGCUCAACACUUAUGGUUUUAGGAAGGUUGAUCCAGAUCGAUGGGAAUUUGCAAAUGAGGGCUUUUUGAGGGGCCAAAAGCACUUGCUUAGGAAUAUAACACGAAGAAAACCUGCCCAUGGUCAUCAUCAACAAUCUCAGCAAUCACAUGUACAAAAUUCAUCAGUAGGGGCAUGCGUAGAAGUUGGUAAGUUUGGGCUCGAGGAAGAGGUUGAGAGGCUUAAAAGAGACAAAAAUGUGCUCAUGCAGGAACUUGUCAGGCUGAAGCAGCAACAACAGACCACUGAUGGCCAACUGCAAACAAUGGUUCAACGCCUUCAGGGCAUGGAGCAAAGACAACAACAAAUGAUGUCAUUCCUUGCUAAAGCCGUACAGAGCCCUGGCUUCUUUGCGCAGUUCGUACAACAGCAAAAUGAGAAUAAUAGGCGUAUAAGUGAAGUCAACAAAAAGCGCCGGCUCAAGCAAGAAGGUAUUGCUGAAACUGACUCUGCUGCUGCUCCUGAUGGGCAAAUUGUUAAGUAUCAACCUCUGAUUAACGAUUCAGCAAAAGCAAUGCUAAGACAGAUCAUGAAAUGGGAUACUUCUCGAGCAGAAUCUUUUAGUAAAGACCCUGAUAAUUACCUGAUUGGUGAUGGUUCGUCAUCCUCAUCUGGUGCGAUGGACAGUGGCAGCUCCUCAAGCUGGACCUCUGGAGUAACACUUCAGGAGGUCCCGCCAACUUCAGUGCAGUCUUCUCAUGUUCCAAUUACUCCGGGGGCUCCAGGGCAUGUUCCCUCAGCUGCCAAACCUGAAAUUCAAUCUUUACCACAGGCUGGAGUUCCUGAAAAGGUUACAAGGGUUGGAGCAUCUGACAUACCUUCUAUCCAUGUUCCUCAAGCAGAUGUCAUCAUGCCUGAUCUUGCACCAAUAGAUGAAAUAGAGUCUGGAAGUAUGCUUGGUAUUCCGGAAGAUAAUUAUAUGGCUCCUGAAGCUGGUGAUGAGGGAUUUAUGGAUCCUGAUUCAUUGGGGGUUAGUGGAUCAUUUCCCAUUGAUUUUGAAGGAAUUUCACCUGAUGCGGACCUUGAUGACUUCUUAGGAAAUCCAUCUAUUUGGGAUGACCUUUUGCAAACCCCAGUGCAAGAGGAUACUGAGACUGAUAUUGAAGCUUCCAAAGUUAAUGAGGUGCAACCAGCCGAAAAUGGUUGGGAUAAAACUCAACAUUUGGAUCAACUUACAAAGCAGAUGGGUCAUCUUUCUUCUGAAGCAAAAUAGAGCGCUUGAUUACCUGUAAAAUUUGAUUGAACUUUCAUGUUGCCUAAGGAAAUGUGUGAUGCUUGAAUACCAGUGAAUCGCAUAAAAGUUCUUCUCCCAUCUUUAAGUUUCAAUUUGAGGGGGGGAAUGAGAAAAACAGAGAAGACAUUGUUACUGAUUGUUGAAGGUAUCUGAAAAGUCCGAAUUGAUUCUUGACGGUUACCAUGUCAACCUAGGGCCUGUUUAAUUCCCAGUCUUGUUAUCAUUUCUCGAGGUGUGCUUGUGUAAAAAGUGGAAAUGAAAGAGGUGCACUCUUUAACAUGAAGUUGGAAAUUUGACUCUAACUGUAUUUUGCGUUGGACAAAAAGAAAUUUUAUUUGAGCUCAAGCCAAAACACGAGGAAACUACUAUUUCUACCCAUGAAAAUUCUAAACACUG